rnacentral:rRNA from 1 species
UUGGAGGGCAAGUCUGGUGCCAGCAGCCGCGGUAAUUCCAGCUCCAAUAGCGUAUAUUAAAGUUGUUGCAGUUAAAAAGCUCGUAGUUGAACUUCGGGGUCUACCCAUUGGUCAGGCUUAAUUGUCUGCACUGGUGAGAUGGAUCUCUACCUUCUGAGGAACUUUCAUGCCAUUUAUUUGGUGUGAUGGGAAAUCAGGACUGUUACUUUGAAAAAAUUAGAGUGUUUAAAGCAGACUAUCGUCUGAAUACAUUAGCAUGGAAUAAUGAAAUAGGACGGACUGAUUCUAUUUCGUUGGUUUCUAGGAUCACCGUAAUGAUUAAUAGGGAUAGUUGGGGGCAUUAGUAUCCAAUUGUCAGAGGUGAAAUUCUUGGAUUUAUUGAAGACUAACUACUGCGAAAGCAUUUGCCAAGGAUGUUUUCAUUAAUCAAGAACGAAAGUUAGGGGAUCGAAGACGAUCAGAUACCGUCGUAGUCUUAACCAUAAACUAUGCCGACUAGGGAUCGGACGAAGUUAAUUUUAUAAUGACGCGUUCGGCACCUUACGGGAAACCAAAGUGUUUGGGUUC